GGCUAGUUGUCCUCGUAGGACCAAACAAAUUCAUAUAUAAAAGUUCUAAAGAUUUAAAAAUUGAAAUAAUAUUCUUAGGUUUAAACGAAACUCUUAUUUGCUUACUUAAUUGGCAUGCAUGACAGAUUUUAUCUUUUUCAAAAUUUAUCUUUGGCAAAUCAAAAACUAAAUCCUUUUUAAUAAUUUUAGAUAGUGUGUGCAUA
rnacentral:lncRNA from 1 species